rnacentral:rRNA from 1 species
AUUGAACGCUGGCGGCAGGCCUAACACAUGCAAGUCGAACGAGUGGCGGACGUGAGUGUAAUGUCUGGAACACUGCCUGAUGGAGGGGGAUAACUACUGGAACCGGUAGCUAAUACCGCAUACCUUCGUAUGUGCCCAGAUGGGAUUAGCUAGUAGGUGGGGUAAAGGCUCACAUCGGCGACGAUCCCUAGCUGGUCUGAGAGGAUGACCAGCAACACUGGAACGCAGAACGGGUCCAGACUCCGAGGGGAGGCAGCAGUGGGGAAUAUUGCACAAUGGGCGAAAGCCUGAUGCAGCAAGGCCGCGGGGAUGAAGAAGGCCUUCGGGUUGUAAAGUACUUUCAGCGGGGAGGCGGUACCCGCAGAAGAAGCACCGGCUAACUCCGUGCCAGCAGCCGCGGUAAUAC